GGGGAAAAACCGACUUCUUCUGUAUGGUGUUUUUUCGUGUAUAUACAUACACACAUUGGAAAUAUUAUGGUCACAAUUAAUUUUCUAAUACUAAAAUAUUUUAUGUAGAUUUCUUUUAUUCUUUUUUGUUGUGCAGGUGGAUGUGCAGAGGAAGGAAAAGGGAAAGAGAAAGAGGAUGGAAGAAGAGGUCGAUUUAUUUUUAAUUAAAUUGAC
rnacentral:lncRNA from 1 species